GUUCCCCAGCUCUGUGACAUCACAGACAGCCUUCUGUCUACUCUGCCAGCUGCAGGAAACAGCCCAGCCCAGUGAACUGGGCUCAAACUCAAGACUGGCUGAUUCAACAAGGCACCCCUGCAGACAAAGCUGGCAGAGUAGAAGUUUCAACUCCUUUCCAUGGCAGCCCACCAAAACCUGAUCUUGAAGAUCUUCUGUUUAUGCUGCAGGGACUGUCAGGAGCCCUAUGCCAUCAAUGACUCCAAGGUUCCCAGUCAAACCCAGGAGCACAAGCCAUCGACCCAAAAUUUGCUGCUUCAGAAGGAUGAGCUUGACAGACAAAAUCCCAAGCGCAUUAACGCAGUCUCCCAUUUGCCUUCGAGAACACCCCUGAUCCAGACAAAAAAGAGCACUUCCUCCAGCAGCAGUGAGUUUGAGGAUCUGAAUGCAUAUGCUUCCCAAAGAAAUUUUUACAAGAGAAACUUAAACCGCUACUGCCAGGAGCACUGGCCAUUCCAGCCAUGCCUCACUGGGAGGCCCUGAGCAUUCUAGCCGGCGGCUGCACAGCUGCUGGGGCAUCUCCAUGAGGAAGAGGGCGGUGGACAGGAGUCAUGAAGACUAAUUCGGAAACUCCCCUGAAGGAGGAGAAGACAUCUGAGCCAUCCUUGUGCCACCAAGCAAGAGUCACUCCAGCUCCUAAAAAGCCACCAUGGGAAGAGCUGCCUCCAAUUAAAGUUCUUGAUUGCACCAGA
rnacentral:lncRNA from 1 species